UACAUUUUAUUAUUAAUAUGAAAUGUUUCUAAAGCUGUCUCUAUAAAGAGUAUUCAGAACAGCACAGUUGUCAUGAAUAUGCAUAAAUGCAAGUAGGUGGAGCUCGAGGUGGAGAUGUACAUCAAAUAGUAACACUGACAUUCAUUUCUAAAACUAGAGGUUUGAACUAAACACUCAGGAAAACAAUGUUGUUCCUGUUCAUGGUGUUUCUCAUUCUUGCUGAUAUUGAGGCUGCUGACAAUAGCAUUAAACCAGAUCAAACCAAUGUAUUUUCAACGGAAGGCAGCAACAUCUCACUGUCCUGCACGUAUACUGGAUCAGCUUACAGUCUCCUCUGGUAUCGACACAAACCUGGAUCAAGACCUGAGUUUCUGCUGAUGAUUCUUGAAGCAAGUAAAACUGUCACACCAGCUCAACCACCUCCACGAUUGUCCAUAAAACUUAAAAAUGAUCAAGAUAAAAAGAGUAAGAAAGUGGAUCUGAUCAUCUCCUCUGCUGCUGUGACAGACUCUGCUCUAUACUACUGUGCUCUGCAGCCCACAGUGACUCCAUGGCUGAUCCAAUAG